rnacentral:rRNA from 1 species
AUGCGAUCGGUGAGUUUGCGCGCUGUAAUUUCCGAAAUUGAUAUAUGUAGUGUUUAUUUGGGUUGUGGGGGGCAGCUGCAGACAGCAGCAUGGGCUUGGAGAGUGGGGAUCAGUACGAUUUUCUUACAAAACUGCAAUGCCCUACAAAUCAUUGUUGGCACUGGCCACUUGUUUGGAUGCACUACAUGGUGCUGGUUGUCGCAAUGCAACCAUCAUAUUUUUGCAUUCUGUUGGCUGUUGAUUGUUUGGAUGUUGCUGCGGUUAGUGUUGGUUGUAUGUUUCACUGAUUGUUUGGGUGCUCUUGUAGUCUCGUGA